rnacentral:rRNA from 1 species
AUUGAACGCUGGCGGCAGGCCUAACACAUGCAAGUCGAGCGAGCGGCGGACGGGGGAGUAAAGUAUGGGGACUGCCGGAUAGAGGGGGGGAAGAACGGGAAACGGGAGCUAAUAACGCAGAGUAUCGGAUAAAACAUAUGGGAUUUGCUAGUAGGUGAGGUAAUGGCUCACCUUGGCGACGAUCCCUAGCUGGUCUGAGAGGAGGAGCAGCCACCCUGGGACUGAGACACGUCCCAUACUCCUACGGAGGCAGCGGUGGGGUAUAUUGCACAAUGGGCGCAAUCCUGAUUCAGCCAUGCCGCGUGUAUGAAGACGGCCCUAGGGUUUUAAAGUACUUUCAGUCGGGAGGCGUUACCGACAGAAGAAGCACCGGCUAACUCCGUGCCAGCAGCCGCGGUAAUAC